GGCUGGCUAGGUAAUGGUACUCCCCUGUCACGGGAGAGAAUGCGGGAUCGUAACCCGUCGCGCCUGCCA
rnacentral:tRNA from 1 species